AUACGUAGGGUGCGAGCGUUGUCCGGAAUUACUGGGCGUAAAGAGCUCGUAGGUGGUUUGUCGCGUCGUCUGUGAAAUUCCGGGGCUUAACUCCGGGCGUGCAGGCGAUACGGGCAUAACUUGAGUACUGUAGGGGAGACUGGAAUUCCUGGUGUAGCGGUGAAAUGCGCAGAUAUCAGGAGGAACACCGGUGGCGAAGGCGGGUCUCUGGGCAGUAACUGACGCUGAGGAGCGAAAGCAUGGGUAGCGAACAGGAUUAGAUACCCUGGUAUUCCAUGCCGUAAACGGUGGGCGCUAGGUGUAGGGGUCUUCCACGACUUCUGUGCCGUAGCUAACGCAUUAAGCGCCCCGCCUGGGGAGUACGGCCGCAAGGCUAAAACUCAAAUGAAUUGACGGGG
rnacentral:rRNA from 1 species